AGGACGAACGCUGGCGGCGUGCCUAACACAUGCAAGUCGAACGAGGUCCAUCCGGUAGCAAUACUGGUGAAGAUCAAGUGGCGAACGGGUGAGUAGCACGUGAGCAACCUGCCCCGAAGACCGGGACAACACCGGGAAACCGGUGCUAAUACCGGAUAUCCCCACCGAGUCGCAUGGCUUGGUGAGGAAAUGGAUUCCGCUUCGGGAGGGGCUCGCGGCCUAUCAGCUUGUUGGUGAGGUAAUGGCUCACCAAGGCUUCGACGGGUAGCUGGUCUGAGAGGACGAUCAGCCACACUGGGACUGAGACACGGCCCAGACUCCUACGGGAGGCAGCAGUGGGGAAUCUUGCACAAUGGGCGAAAGCCUGAUGCAGCAACGCCGCGUGAGGGACGAAGGCUUUCUGAGUUGUAAACCUCUUUCAGCAGGGACGAUUGUGACGGUACCUGCAGAGAAGCCCGGCAACUACGUGCCAGCAGCCGCGGUAAU
rnacentral:rRNA from 1 species